UACGUAGGGGGCAAGCGUUGUCCGGAAUCAUUGGGCGUAAAGAGCGUGUAGGCGGCCAGAUAAGUCCGCUGUGAAAUCUCGAGGCUCAACUUCGAGCUGUCGGUGGAAACUGUCUGGCUAGAGUCCGGAAGAGGCGAGUGGAAUUCCUGGUGUAGCGGUGAAAUGCGCAGAUAUCAGGAGGAACACCAAUGGCGAAGGCAGCUCGCUGGGACGGUACUGACGCCUGAGGCGACGAAAGCGUGGGGAGCAAACAGG
rnacentral:rRNA from 1 species